UACGAAGGGUGCAAGCGUUACUCGGAAUUACUGGGCGUAAAGCGUGCGUAGGCGGUUUGUUAAGCCCGCUGUGAAAGCCCUGGGCUCAGCCUGGGAAUUGCAGUGGAUACUGGCAAGCUAGAGUGCGGUAGAGGAUGGUGGAAUUCCCGGUGUAGCGGUGAAAUGCGUAGAGAUCGGGAGGAACACCCGUGGCGAAGGCGGCCAUCUGGACCAGCACUGACGCUGAGGCACGAAAGCGUGGGGAGCAAACAGG
rnacentral:rRNA from 1 species